rnacentral:lncRNA from 1 species
UGAAUAUAUAUAGUAGUUCUUUCGUGUAUUUUCUGUAAAUAAGUUAUAUUUUUGUUAAUAAAAUUUUGACUUUAUAUAAAAGUUAACCAAAUCCUUCGGAUAAGAGGUUUUUCCGGAUAAUGACUAUAGUUGACAUUGUGUGAAAAUACAUUGUAUGUCAAUGUUUAACCUCAGAGCAAUUAAUAUGCAUGCAAGUGGUCGGGGGAAAAGUACUAUUGAAGAUUCGCAGAGAUUUGGUGUGUGACAAGGUGAUGCUAAAACCAACUUCUCUUAAUAUUCUGCUUUCCGUGGGCGAAUCAUCAGUGAUGUUAUGAGACUUGCACCAGAAGGCAAAAUUGGUGCGUCUUUAAAUUAGAUUGAUUGAUUGAUUGUUGGUUGCUUAACGUCCAGUGACAAAUAUUUCAUGCAUGUUCAGGACGAGAACAAGUUAACAAUAAAAACAAUAGGUAGGUUUUGUCAUAAUAGAGGCCAUUCGGGAUGAUGAUCGGGAAAAUUUAGACUGCCACUGGAAAAUGAUGGUAUAUUGGAUUGGGACAGAAAUUUUCCAUUGCA